rnacentral:rRNA from 1 species
GACGAACGCUGGCGGCGUGCUUAACACAUGCAAGUCGAACGAGGCCCCUCCUUCGGGAGGGUGUCCUAGUGGCGAACGGGUGAGUAACACGUGGGCAACCUGCCCCCGGCUCUGGGAUAACCCCAAGAAAUUGGGGCUAAUACCGGAUAUGACCGCUGACCGCAUGGUCGGUGGUGGAAAGUUUUUUCGGCUGGGGAUGGGCCCGCGGCCUAUCAGCUUGUUGGUGGGGUAGUGGCCUACCAAGGCGACGACGGGUAGCCGGCCUGAGAGGGUGACCGGCCACACUGGGACUGAGACACGGCCCAGACUCCUACGGGAGGCAGCAGUGGGGAAUAUUGCGCAAUGGGCGGAAGCCUGACGCAGCGACGCCGCGUGGGGGAUGACGGCCUUCGGGUUGUAAACCUCCUUCAGCAGGGACGAAGCGAAAGUGACGGUACCUGCAGAAGAAGCACCGGCCAACUACGUGCCAGCCGCCGCAGUAA